GGGAAACAGCUAGGGAAAGAGCCCUAGCAGGGAAUAAGGAGCCCAGCUGUUGGUUGCCAGGGCAACUGGAGCUAACAAGCAAUAUUACCUGCCAGCGGUCAGCUGACUGAAAGGAGCAGGGCCUGGCUCUCUUAUAAACCCUAGGGGCUAAGGCCAGAGGCAGUUCUCUGCCAGCAGCCCAGGAGGAAGGAGCUCUCUGCCAUGGGAGAGAGGAGAAGCCUGAAGGUAGGAGCAGCAUCAGACACAGCUGUGAGAUAAAGAAACCCCGGUAGGCUUGAACAUUGUUAUGGCCGGGCGGCUUCUGUUUAAGUUAUAGCCCAGGGGCUUGUGUUUAUGUUGCUGUUUGUAACUGGUGGUUUGGGUGAGGCUGUUAGGGGUCGGAGGAGGCCUCAUAGGGGACCCACAGCAGUGUGGGAACCCCAGCGCCAGCAAGGGCACAGCAUUCAGGGUGUACAGACCCCGGCCCCAGGGAGGGGCAGCUGAGAAGCCCCAGUGUGGGUGUGAUAAGCCCCAGAGAGGGGCAUUUGAGAAGCCCCAGAGGGGGGGAAUUACUGAGAAGCCCCAGUGUGGGCACGGUGAGCCCCGGAGAGGGGUGGCAUUACUGAGGAACCCUGGAAAAGGGGCACUGCCGAGAAGCCUCAGUAUGAGCACAGAGAGCCCUGGAGAGAGGGCGGCAUUGCUGAGAAGGCCCUGGAGAGAGGGCGGAGAGCCCAAGUGCCAGAGAGGGCAUGGAGAGAGAGAGACCGAACAACAUCAGGCACAUCUGCAAAGCUUGGGGAGUGGUACAGGGGUGGUAGGAGCCACACAUAGCCCAUAAAGGGGGAGUAUACAGAAUACUCAAUACCGGAGGAGACCUAGAGAUAACAGGAGAACCGUGGGCAAGCAGAUGAAGGGCAGCCUCCCUAUAAAAUAUAUAAGAUCAAAGUCGUGGCAGGAGAGAAUUGGAGGGUGCUAAUCGAUAACUUGACUCAGUAAAGGAGGCGGCAGGGGAGAGCACGGUGACCCAAGCCGCCCUCCUGUUACACAGCCCUAGAAAGUAAUUUAAAAAUUACAGCUGGUGCACAGUAUCCGAAUAAUCUGAGACAAAUUUUACAGAGCUACAUGGAAGAAAACCUGCAUUAAAGAACCAAUUUCAGCUCCAAGACUGAGUAGCCUUGUUUAGGCUCUGUGAGCAGAGAGGAAACAGACCAGCUUCUCACCAUGCAGUUGUACUCCCAGCAGUCCAAAAGGUUUAUUGCUAGAUUACCAGAUGCUCAGAUUUACUAAUCCACUAGCUAUUACAGCUACAUUCCAUGAUGUCUUUUUUUCCUUAUAAGAAGUUCUGCUGCUGUGAAUCCAUAGAGUAUCUGCUGAAGCAAUGGCUGAUUUUGGAGAUUAUCACUUCAUUUUCCUUCCAAACAGGAUGGACCCUCCCUCAAGGCCUCAAAUCCCAGAAGGAUAUUCAGAAUAACUUUAGUUGGUUUAAUCCUUGCACAUCUUUCAGAGUUGGGGAGGCAUUUUCCUACUGAAUUUUGUAGACUUUUUGGAAGAAGGGAUCAGCAGCGGGAAGGAGAGGAGGCAGCACACGUGUGUCCCGCACGCACGUGUGCCCUUUUUACCAACCAACUGGCCGGAGGCGGCGGCGGCAGCAGCAACAGAGGAAUCGGCAGCGGGGGCAGCAGCAGCUGAUCCCCCGAAGGCCCAGGCACCAAAGGAAGAAGCACCCUGGGGAAUACCCUCCACAGCAGAGUGGCAGACAGUCACAGCCAGGACCAGAGCAGCACGCAGCGAACCGGUACCAGCUUCUCUAGUCCGACUGGUGAACAGAUCAAGAGAUCCACGAUGACCCAGAGGAGGAGGCGACGAGUGCUCGUCAUAGGAGACUCCAUCCUGAGAGGUACAGAAGGACCCAUCUGUCGCCAGGACCCCUCGGCACGAGAGUGACCGGACGAGGAAGACGGCAGGAGAACUGCAUCAGAGAGACCAACUGGCGGCUUCGGCAGUGGUGUCUCGAGGCAGGCUUCGGCUUCCUGGACAAUGACCCGCACAUCAUGACGAGGGACAUGCUCAGCUGGGAUGGGCUUCACCUGUCCCCCAAAGGUAAGCGUGUGUUUUCUACUAGGUUGGCGGAUCUCCUCCGGCGGGCUUUAAACUAGGCUCGUCGGGGGGAGGGGAGUACGAGGGCAGGGGAAGCUGUGGACCACCAAACCAUGUGGCACCCACAAGGACAGCCCAGCCUGAAGAAGGAGAACAUUGGGAACCUGAAAGCCAUGGGGAGGCCAGCACUACAGAACAGGUAAGAAACAAGAAGGUAAGAAACAAUGGGCCCCAUGGGACUGGGAGCGGGGGGGCAGCAAAGGCACCAGUCGCAGGGCUCAAGUGCCUAUAUACUAAUGCUAGGAGCAUGGGGAACAAGCAGGAUGAACUAGCGCUCCUGCUUGCACUAAACACCUAUGACUUAGUGGGGCUAACAGAGACC